CAAGUACUCCCUCCGUUCGAAAUUACUUGUCAUAAAAAUGGAUGUAUCUGCAACUAAAAUACAUCUAGAUACAUUCAUUUCUUGGACGAGUAAUUCCGAACGGAGGGAGUAUAAG
rnacentral:pre_miRNA from 1 species